GUAGCGGUGAAAUGCGUAGAGAUCUGGAGGAAUACCGAUGGCGAAGGCAGCCUUCUGGCCUAACACUGACGCUGAGGUGCGAAAGCAUGGGGAGCAAACAGGAUUAGAUACCCUGGUAGUCCAUGCUGUAAACGAUGUCAACUAGCCGUUGGGGACCUUGAGUCUUUAGUGGCGCAGCUAACGCGAUAAGUUGACCGCCUGGGGAGUACGGUCGCAAGACUAAAACUCAAAUGAAUUGACGGGGGCCCGCACAAGCGGUGGAGCAUGUGGUUUAAUUCGAUGCAACGCGAAGAACCUUACCUGGCCUUGACAUGUCUGGAAUCCUGCAGAGAUGCGGGAGUGCCUUCGGGAAUCAGAACACAGGUGCUGCAUGGCUGUCGUCAGCUCGUGUCGUGAGAUGUUGGGUUAAGUCCCGCAACGAGCGCAACCCUUUUCUUUAUUUGCCAGCACGUAAUGGUGGGAACUCUAAAGAUACUGCCGGUGACAAACCGGAGGAAGGCGG
rnacentral:rRNA from 1 species